rnacentral:lncRNA from 10 species
UUGAGCGAGUACAGAACCUGGCCCUCUGGGAAGUCUACCAGUGGCAAAAAGGACAGAUGCAGAAGCAGAACGGAGGGAAGGCCGUGGACGAGCGGCAGCUGUUCCACGGCACCAGCGCCAUUUUUGUGGACGCCAUCUGCCAGCAGAACUUUGACUGGCGGGUCUGUGGUGUUCAUGGCACUUCCUACGGCAAGGGUAGGUGGCAUAUAUUGUCUCCUUUCACCCUUUAACACAUCCCAAGAACAGGACAUUAUCUUCUGUAACCACAAUAUGCUUACCAAGUUGAGAACAUUUUCUGCCCAGCAGUCCAUGUUCCGGGUCCAUCAGUUCUUUGUUAGUCAGUUUCCGUCUGAGGCAGCGAUGGCAAGGGGUCAAGAUGGACAGCAGCCAGUGGUAGACUUGUGGAUUUAAAUGUACAGGUGACAGCUUCUAACUCAGAUUUCCAUUUGACAAGGCUCAUAAUUCUAUACAUUGGGCUGCCAGAGUCUACAGACUGCUUCCGUAUAUGGGAUCUCAUUCAUUUUCCAUGCCAACC